rnacentral:pre_miRNA from 15 species
CUCGAGUGCGGCUGGCCGGGACUGGCGCCCCAUCUUACCCAGCAGUGUUUGGGUGCCGCUCGGGAGUCUCUAAUACUGCCGGGUAAUGAUGGAGGUCCUUUCCUCAUGACGCCUCCCAAUGCC